GAGUGAAUUGCCGGGCAAAUCUCCUUUGGCAGUAAGGCUCAAUAAUACAGCCAUUUACGGCAGUCAAGUAGCCUACUGCCAAAGGAGUAAUUGCCCAGUAAUGCAUCC
rnacentral:pre_miRNA from 1 species